rnacentral:rRNA from 1 species
GCUGCAUGGCUGUCGUCAGCUCAUGUCGUGAGAUGUUGGGUUAAGUCCCGCAACGAGCGCAACCCCUAUCUUUAAUUGCCAUCAUUCAGUUGGGCACUUUAGAGAGACUGCCGGUGUUAAGCCGGAGGAAGGUGGGGAUGACGUCAAGUCCUCAUGGCCCUUAUGGGUAGGGCUUCACACGUCAUACAAUGGUCGGUACAGAGGGUUGCCAAGCCGCGAGGCGGAGCCAAUCCCACAAAGCCGAUCGUAGUCCGGAUUGUUCUCUGCAACUCGAGAGCAUGAAGUCGGAAUCGCUAGUAAUCGCAGGUCAGCAUACUGCGGUGAAUACGUUCCCGGGUCUU